GCCACUUGAUUCGAGCCCAAAUGGCCGCAGUCUGGGCUGUUAUUUAAACCAAGUUAAGCUAGUUGCUCUACUUGUCAGCUGCGAGAAUUGAGUUUUCUCUUUGCUGCAGUUGCAUUUAAUGCACCAAUUUAACGAUAAGAAAAGUUGUGGGCCAAAAAAGUUUGCCUUGCUCAAGCAUUGAACUUUUUAUUACCCACGCGCAAAAUAAGACAAGCAAGUGAAACAACAUUCUGCUAAAAAUGGUAUUUAUUCUACACCUUCUGUCUGCCAUGUGGGUUUAUUCGGCACAUAAGCCAAAAAAUUAUGCGCUUCGCUUGUUAGCCGCCUUAUCUAAAUACUAAUGCCAGCCAAAAACUUAUAUUUCUUGGGCUGCAAGACUUAAUAAUUUUGCAAAUAUAUAUAGAUAAAAAUAAAAUGA